rnacentral:rRNA from 1 species
AUCCCGACUUCGGAAGGGACGUAUUUAUUAGAAUCAGAACCAAUGCCCUUCGGGGUUCCUUGGUGAAUCAUGAUAACUCCACAGAUCGCAUGGCCUUGCGCCGGCGAUGGCUCAUUCAAAUUUCUUCCCUAUCAACUUUCGACGGUACGGUCUUGGCCUACCGUGGUUGUAACGGGUGACGGAGGGUUAGGGCUCGACCCCGGAGAGGGAGCCGGAGGGACGGCUACCACAUCCAAGGAAGGCAGCAGGCGCGCAAAUUAUCCAAUCCCGACACGGGGAGAUAGUGACAAUAAAUACCGAUACAGGGCUCUUUUGGGCCCUGUAAUUGGAAUGAGUACAAUUUAAACCUCUUAACGAGGAACAAUUGGAGGGCAAGUCUGGUGCCAGCAGCCGCGGUAAUUCCAGCUCCAAUAGCGUAUAUUAAAGUUGUUGUGGUUAAAAAGCUCGUAGUCGAACCUCGAGCCUGGCCGGCCGGUCCGCCUCACCGCGUGCACUGGUCUGGCCGGGCUCUUCCCUCUGCGGAACCGCAUGUCCUUCACUGGGCGUGUCGGGGAGGCAGGACUUUUACUUUGAAAAAAUUAGAGUGCUCAAGGCAGGCCAAUGCUCGAAUACAUUAGCAUGGAAUAAUAGAAUAGGACGUUGGUUCUAUUUUGUUGGUUUCUAGGACCGCCGUAAUGAUCAAUAGGGACGGUCGGGGGCAUCAGUAUUCAGCCGUCAGAGGUGAAAUUCUUGGACCGGCUGAAGACUAACUACUGCGAAAGCAUUUGCCAAGGACGUUUUCGCUGAUCAGGAACGAAAGUUAGGGGAUCGAAGACGAUCAGAUACCGUCGUAGUCUUAACCAUAAACUAUGCCGACUAGGGAUCGGGCGGCGUUCUUUCUAGACCCGCUCGGCACCUUUCGAGAAAUCAAAGUGCUUGGGCUCCAGGGGGAGUAUGGCGGCAACGCUGAAACUUAAAGAAAUUGACGGAAGGGCACCACCAGGGGUGGAACCUGCGGCUUAAUUUGACUCAACACGGGGAAACUCACCAGGUGCCAGACACAAUGAGGAUUGACAGAUUGAGAGCUCUUUCUUGAUUUUGUGGGUGGUGGUGCAUGGCCGUUCUUAGUUGGUGGAGUGAUUUGUCUGCUUAAUUGCGAUAACGAACGAGACCUUGACCUCUAAAUAGCUCGCACCGCCCCGGCGGUG